rnacentral:tRNA from 1 species
GGAGAGUAGAGCUCAGUGGUAGAGUGCCUGCUUAGCAUGCAGGAGGCCUGGGGUUCAAUCCCCAGCACCUCCA